GCAAUCGAAAUCCCAACAACAACAUCAACAAGAGCAGCAAGUUCACCUACAAGAGCAAGAGGAAGUUGAAAACGCCUAGCAGCUUAAUAAGUUCUUUACAAUUGGACAAUUUCCAUAUAAAAACUAAUUGGGAAUUGUUAAAUUUUCAUUGCGGAUGAGAAAAACUGUUAACAUUAUUGGACACUUAAAACGAAAUGACUUAAAAACCCCACAGUUGUUUAAAAGUUAUGCACAUUAAUUACAAUAAAAAAAAAA